rnacentral:rRNA from 1 species
UACAGAGGGGGCAAGCGUUGUUCGGAAUUACUGGGCGUAAAGGGCGCGUAGGCGGCCUUCUAAGUCAGACGUGAAAUCCCUCGGCUCAACCGGGGAACUGCGUCUGAUACUGAAAGGCUUGAAUCCGGGAGAGGAAUGCGGAAUUCCAGGUGUAGCGGUGAAAUGCGUAGAUAUCUGGAGGAACACCGGUGGCGAAGGCGGCAUUCUGGACCGGCAUUGACGCUGAGGCGCGAAAGCGUGGGGAGCGAACAGG